UUACGGGAGGCAGCAGUGGGGAAUAUUGCCCAAUGGGGGAAACCCUGAUGCAGGGACGCAGCGUGCGGGAUGACGCCCUUCGGGUUGUAAACCGCUUUCACCAGGGAAGAAGCCC
rnacentral:rRNA from 1 species